AUAUUUCCACUAAAUAGUGUCUCAUUCGGUAAAACAACCUGUUCUUAUCAUUUUAAUAUCUGUUAUGUCCUGCAUCACGGGACUAGAAUCUCAGUCAUUUUUGGCUCAUGACGGAGUGAUAAGAGCAUGCUCUACGUCUGUCACAGGUUGCCUCCUCACUUUUGAACUCCGUUAAGAUAGUCAACUGUCU